rnacentral:rRNA from 1 species
AGAGAGAGACAUGCGUGCAUAUCAAUAAGCGGAGGAAAAGAAACUAACUAGGAUUCCCUCAGUAACGGCGAGUGAAGCGGGAAGAGCUCAAAUUUGAAAUCUUCAAGGUUCUACCUUGACGAAUUGUAGUUUAAAGAAGUGUUUUCUGUUGGAAGUUUUGGUAAAAGUUCUUUGGAAUAGGACAUCAUAGAGGGUGAGAAUCCCGUAUUUGACCAUUAUUUUCAGCUGUGUGAUACACUUUCAAAGAGUCGGAUUGUUUGGGAAUGCAGUCCAAAAUGGGUGGUAAAUUUCAUCUAAAGCUAAAUAUUGGCGAGAGACCGAUAGCGAACAAGUACCGUGAGGGAAAGAUGAAAAGAACUUUGAAAAGAGAGUUAAACAGUACGUGAAAUUGUCAAAAGGGAAGCGUUUGACACCAGUGUUGUUUUCUCGAAAAUCAAUUAAAAAAGGCAGGAUUUUGUGUUGUAUUGACUUUAUCAGCUUUCUGCACUCUUUUCUUGUCUUUUUUAAUGCACUUUUCGUUUAACAAGUCAACAUCAAUUUCUUUUGUUGUAAAAGGGUCAUUGGAAGGUGGCUUUCUUUUCGGAGAAAGUGUUUAUAGCCUUUGGCCUCUGCAAUCGGAGAGAUUGAGGUCUGCAGCGUAGAUCCUUCGGGGUUAGAUACAUUUGUGCUAAGUUAUAGCCUUUCAUAGACAACUUGUUGACUAUGAUCAGUCAUGUAGCUUACUCGCUUAUGCUAUUUUACCUACGCUUAGGAUGUUGAUGUGAUACUGCGAGCA